UUCCCCAGGACCGGAAGUGGAGGGGAAGGGCCUGAAGACUGGCUGUUCCCGGGUGACACUCAAUGGAAAAAACUAAGUUUGAGAAAUAAAUGUGGGAUAUAAACGGAAGACGCUGGAAAGUCAGUACGUCCAGCAGCAUCUGUGGAGAAAGUAAAAGAGUUAACUGUUUGGAGUCCCGUUUCUCCGCAUUGAACCAAUCACAGAAUCCACACAGUGUAGAAGAAGGCCAUUCGGUCCAUCGAGUCUGCACCAACCGUCUGAAGAAUGUCCAACCCAGACCUACCCUCCUUCUCUGACCUCUUCACCUUACAUUUAUCAUGGUCAGUCCAGCCAACCUGCACACCUUUGGGCUGUGGGAGGAAACCGCAAACUCCACAUAAUCACCUGAGGGUGGGAUUGAACUGUGAGACAGCAGUGCCAGUCUCUCAGCCCGACCCCAUAAAGCUGCUUCUUCUUAAAUCGCGAUAUCUCGUUCUGUUUUUAUCAGUAGAUAUUUGAGCACUCUGGAGAAGAGUCAAAACGGACUUGAAAUGUCAGAUCAGUUUCACAAGUUGACCCUUGUAUUCUUGCGUUCGUUUUGGAAAGGCACUGGAAGCGAGUCCAGAGAAAACAGAGACCAGAAAAUAUGCACCUUCUCAUUCCACUAUCUUCCUCCACAGCAAAUGCAGGAGAGAUUGCCAUGUCAGCAUGUCUACACCAGUCAGAUGUUGACCACAGAAUUGACCUCCAAGGCAGAAACUGCUGCAUUGCAAGAUUGCACAGGAUGUUGGUAGGAAGACCGUACCAGCAAACAAGGGUGUAGUUCUACUUCUGAAGAAGGGUCCAGACCGAAACGUCAGCUUUCCUGCUCCUCUGAUGCUGCUUGGCUUGCUGUGUUCAUACAACUCUACACCUUGUUAUCUCUGUAGUUCUACUCAAUUUUCUUUCUGUUCUGUUUUGGGAAAUGCUGUACUGCUGCUUAGUAAGCCAAGAUUAAGACAUUACAAUUCUAUAAACACCAUAAACAAUAAAUGAACUAACUAAG